CGAACGGGAUGCUUAGGCAUCUAGUGGCGGACGGGUGAGUAACGCGUGAGAAUCUGGCUCCAGGUCGGGGAUAACAGUUGGAAACGACUGCUAAUACCGGAUGUGCCGAGAGGUGAAAGAUUUAUUGCCGGGAGAUGAGCUCGCGUCUGAUUAGCUAGUUGGUGGUGUAAGGGACCACCAAGGCGUCGAUCAGUAGCUGGUCUGAGAGGAUGAUCAGCCACACUGGGACUGAGACACGGCCCAGACUCCUACGGGAGGCAGCAGUGGGGAAUUUUCCGCAAUGGGCGAAAGCCUGACGGAGCAAUACCGCGUGAGGGAGGAAGGCUCUUGGGUCGUAAACCUCUUUUCUCAAGGAAGAAGAAAGUGACGGUACUUGAGGAAUAAGCAUCGGCUAACUCCGUGCCAGCAGCCGCGGUAAUACGGAGGAUGCAAGCGUUAUCCGGAAUGAUUGGGCGUAAAGGGUCUGCAGGUGGAACUGAAAGUCUGCUGUUAAAGAGUUUGGCUUAACCAAAUAAAAGCGGUGGAAACUACAGAACUAGAGUGCGGUAGGGGCAAAAGGAAUUCCUGGUGUAGCGGUGAAAUGCGUAGAUAUCAGGAAGAACACCGGUGGCGAAAGCGUUUUGCUAGACCGUAACUGACACUGAGGGACGAAAGCUAGGGGAGCGAAUGGGAUUAGAUACCCCAGUAGUCCUAGCCGUAAACGAUGGAUACUAGGCGUGGCUUGUAUCGACCCGAGCCGUGCCGGAGCUAACGCGUUAAGUAUCCCGCCUGGGGAGUACGCACGCAAGUGUGAAACUCAAAGGAAUUGACGGGGGCCCGCACAAGCGGUGGAGUAUGUGGUUUAAUUCGAUGCAACGCGAAGAACCUUUACCAAGACUUGACACCCUGCGAAUCCUGGUGAAAGCUGGGAGUGCCUUCGGGAGCGCAGAGACAGGUGGUGCAUGGCUGUCGUCAGCUCGUGUCGUGAGAUGUUGGGUUAAGUCCCGCAACGAGCGCAACCCUCGUUUUUAGUUGCCAGCAUUAAGUUGGGCACUCUAGAGAGACUGCCGGUGACAAACCGGAGGAAGGUGAGGAUGACGUCAAGUCAGCAUGCCCCUUACGUCUUGGGCUACACACGUACUACAAUGCUACGGACAGAGGGCAGCGAGCCAGGGAUGGCAAGCGAAUCCAGAAACCGUAGCUCAGUUCAGAUCGAAGGCUGCAACUCGCCUUCGUGAAGGAGGAAUCGCUAGUAAUUGCAGGUCAGCAUACUGCAGUGAAUUCGUUCCCGGGCCUUGUACACACCGCCCGUCACACCAUGGAAGUUGGUCACGCCCGAAGUCAUUACCCCAACCGAAAGGAGGGGGAUGCCUAAGGUAGGACUGGUGACUGGGGUGAAGUCGUAACAAGGUAGCCGUACCGGAAGGUGUGGCUGGAUCACCUCCUUU
rnacentral:rRNA from 1 species